rnacentral:rRNA from 1 species
AUAGCCCUCGGUGCAAUGCGGCCAGCCCGGACCGAGGACCGCGCUUCGGCUAGGAUGCUGGCGUAAUGGUCGUGAGCGACCCGUCUUGAAACACGGACCAAGGAGUCUAACGUCUAUGCGAGUGUUUGGGUGUCAAACCCAUACGCGUAAUGAAAGUGAACGGAGGUGAGAACCCAGGGCGCAUCAUCGACCGAUCCAGAUG